rnacentral:rRNA from 1 species
AUUGAACGCUGGAGGCAUGCCUUACACAUGCAAGUCGAACGGCAGCACGGGGGCAACCCUGGUGGCGAGUGGCGAACGGGUGAGCAAUGCAUCGGAACGUGCCCAGUAGUGGGGGAUAACCCGGCGAAAGCCGGGCUAAUACCGCAUACGACCUAAGGGUGAAAGCGGGGGACCGUAAGGCCUCGCGCUAUUGGAGCGGCCGAUGUCUGAUUAGCUAGUUGGCGGGGUAAAAGCCCACCAAGGCGACGAUCAGUAGCUGGUCUGAGAGGACGACCAGCCACACUGGGACUGAGACACGGCCCAGACUCCUACGGGAGGCAGUAGUGGGGAAUUUUGGACAAUGGGCGCAAGCCUGAUCCAGCCAUGCCGCGUGCGGGAAGAAGGCCUUCGGGUUGUAAACCGCUUUUGGCAGGAACGAAACGGCGCAAGCCAAUACCUUGCGCUAAUGACGGUACCUGCAGAAUAAGCACCGGCUAACUACGUGCCAGCCGCCGCGGUAA